AGGAGGAAAUGGACUCGCCCAUUCAUUUCCUGUGGAGCCAUUCAAUCCGUGCCAGGGCUGCGGAUCCUGUGGGAAGAAGUCUGCCCUGUCUCAGCCCCCACAGAUUCCCCGUUCCAGUCUGGAUGAAAUGGAGUGAGCAGCCAGGUUCUGUGGGUCCCUCCGUGACAUGCGAGGUGAUGUGGACACCAGCCCCCGCUUCAAGGGAGACACUUCUGUUCUCAGCAGGAGAAAGGCCAGGCAACACACCCAGCUUCGUCCCCUGCCCUGUCCAGAACACACCCGAGACUGGUCACACAGACACAAGCACCCAGGCUAACAAAUGCAAAGGCACAUGCCUGUUGAGCACGCCUGUCCCUGUUGGGUCCUCUCCCGGGUCCAAACCCCAGCACCUUGCCUUGGUCACCACACUAGUCUCCCACCCUCACGCUCUCCUGUCUGGCUGGUGGCGUGGGAGGGAAUUCCUCCUCUACGCUGGGGCAGGUCCCCCACUUUUAACUCACCCUCUGGCAGGAAGCUUCUGGAGGCCCGAAACGGGGAGCACAUUAUGUCUGAAGUUGGGGCAGGUGGGGGUCAGAGUGGCCGUGGGUGCCAGCCCGGCAGCGGGCAGGCAGACUGGACCCUGAGGUCUGACGCAAUGGAAAAAGAAACCACAGUUCAGGCUGGGCCAGGCCCCCUCCCCUUCUGCCCCAGCAGGAGACAGCAAGGUGUCAUUAAGGGAGGGCUGGGUCUGCCAUGCGCAUGUGGGCAAGAUGGAAGGCUUGGGACAUUGCCCGCCCCACCCCGCAUGUAAUUUGAGGUUUCAGGCUGGAGGAGGGGGUAUGUGGAGCCAGGGCCUGCUCGAGGGAUGGUCCUGACUCAUGGCACAGGUGGGCACAGGCUUCUGGGUGAUCAGACUCCCUGGAAGGAGCGUGGAAGGUGAGGAUACCAAACCAGCAGUUCCUUUUACAAACGGGUUAACUGGGACAAGUGGAGGAGUCUGAGACUCCUCAGUCGUAGGUUUGUGCAUUCAUUCAAACAUCCUCUGAGAAGCCUCAGGCUGUGGCAAUGGGUAAAGCAUAGAGCAAUGGUGGCGAACCCAUGGUACGUGGCUGCAGCAAGCACACAGAGCCCGCUCCGCAGACAUGCGAGCCAAGCUGCCCAACAUCACCCCAGCAUCAGAUAACAGCACACACAGGGCAGCAUUGGCAUCUGGGGAUAAUAGACACUAGGUCUCUAAAAGGCUCGCCAUCCCUGGCAUAGAGGGUUCAGCCUCCACCAGGUCCAGUGCUCCAGCAAUAAAACACCCUGCCAUAGGGCCAGGACAGGAUCUGGUGACUCUGGUCCUGAGCACUAUGGCUUUAGCCAGAAAUCUGGGAGCCCGUGGUCCUUGACUCCUCUUACCAUCUCCUCCCAUAUAACACAGUACAGCCUACCCCACCUCCAAGUUUUGUCCAGCAUCCAUCUGCCUCUCUCCACUUCCUCUGCUGCAGGCUGGCCAGGCUCCUAUCAUCCCUGCCCAGCCAUGCCCCAGCCCAUGAUGGGUGUCCCCAUUACAACUCACCCUCCCAGACUAAGGCAAGAAAGAAUUUUUAAGCAUAUAAAUUCAAUACUGCCAUAGCUCUACCUGAAACUCUUUCAAAUCUUCCCCUUCCAGCUCACAAAGACCCUCAAUCCUCUCCAGGCCAAAAUGACUUGAUCCCAUCUCAGACCACAUUUCUCUGGCUCCCUCUGGUCUGGCUAUACCACUUCACCAUACUCUGUGAAUAUGCUGUCUCCUGCCUCAGGGCCUUUGCACUUAUUGCCCCUGUUGCUCAAAAUGCUUUUCUUCCCAUUAAGAGUUGUCCCAUCCUCUGAGGCCUUUCCUGAUCACUUGGACUAAUGAAAUCGGUCUCAGCUCCAUGCUGUCUUCACUGAUCACUGUGUUGUACCUUCAUUUUACAUAUUUGUCUACAUGUCUUGACUUUGUCAUCUGUAGGUUCCCAGGGAGGCACCAGUACUGUUUCUCCAGCAUGAGAGUCCUGUCUGUACUGAGCAGGUGUUAAUGAAUGUGCUAUACGCGCGAGGAUGCAGGCACCCUGCAGGCAGGUCCUUCCUCUGCAGCACAGACAGCAAUGCCUCUCUAUGCACGGUGCUGGGAAGAUCACAAAGCCACUUUGAAAACUCUGGACCCUCAUAACUGCUCUGACAGGACAGCAAUAGGGGGGCUCAGUUCAUGGGAGAAACCGAGACCUAAAAAGGACAGUGGUUUUUCCAAGCGAGGACAGGAUGUGCCCAAGCCCAGAGCCCAGGCUGCUAUGAUACCAUCCCAGCAACGCAGGUCCCAGGAGUUAGCUGCAGUCCACGGGGCUCACUGUGGGGAGAAGCUGCUGAGCAGGCUGGGUGGUGAUGGGGAGACACCAAGAGAGGCAGGUGGCAAAGGGAAACCUGAAGACCCAAAGCGGGGGGGAGAGUGGAUGAAAGGAAGCACCAGCCCCAACAGAGAAUCCCAACUGGUGGGCAUAAUGGGUGACCACUAGCAAAUGUGGGACAGCCUGUUGGAACUUCCAGUAGGAGGCGCCAGGGGCCACGCAACAAAGCAGGUUAGAUCUGAUACCUGGAAAAUGGAAAAAAGUCUGUUUUCAGUAGCAACUACUGGACACCAACCUCUCUAAAGUCUUGCUGGUAGCUGUCACAGGGCUAGGGGCUUGAUCCUUGGCUCGGUACCACACAGUGGGAAGAGUAUGGACUCGGACUCUGAUUCAGACUGCUGGGGUUGAACCCCAGACUCUGCCAUUUACCUGUGUGACUUCAGGCAAGUUGUUAAACCUCUCUGUGCCUCAGUUUCACCCUCUGUAAUAUGGGGACAGUAACAGUGCUUUCCUAGCAAGACGGCGCUCUUGGAACAACAGUGUGCCGCUUUUGUGGUUAUCAGGAAUCCCUGAUCACUGGGGAGUGGGUGGAGCUGAACAACACUCAGGGCGUGUGGUUCAUGUAAGGGCAGCACAUGGCUAGAUCUGGUUAAGCGCUAUGGUUCUUGGCUGACCUUCUCUGCUGGUGGACAGGGCCACAGAGGCCAAGGUGGUAGAUGGGAUCAAAGAGUAGAUGACAGACCUGGACAGGAUAACCUUCCUGUGUGGUGUCCAUUUCUUGGAGACUAUGGGUCUGAGACCACUGCGGCCUCCAGCAAAUCCUGCUCAGGGGUCUAAUCUGACAGAAGAGCCUUCCAUGGUAGCCCAGGGCUCUUCCUAGUGCAAGUGGUUGCUACAUCGGAGGCUCUGGUGUCUCCCGGGAGCCUGUCGCAAACAGGGCAUCUGGAGCCCUACCCUGACCUGUUCCAUAAGGAAAGGAGAGGUGCCUGGUAACCUGUAUUUGAACAAACCCUCCAGGCCAUCCUAGUUUCGCCUAAGCACUCACAAACCACAGGUUGGGUGGGCAGGUAGGGUUCCUAACAAGCUCCCAGGGGAUCCCCAGGCUGUCCCCCAGGACCACAAUGGGAGCAAAAAUGCCCAGAAAUGAGACUGGCUCUACUUGCCUGAAUUUGGCCAAUUAAGCAUACAUCCUACUUGGUCUCCAUACAAACUCUGCCAGUCCCUGGUAUAGACAGUAAUACUCUGCUAACCAGAACCCUUAGCUAACCACCUUUCCCCUACCCCUACCCACAAAUCCUAGCCCCCACCCCAGUCCAGCCAGCUGCUUAUUUUACAGAGCUUUCAAGGGGUUGGGCCAUAUCUUAAAUACACCCAAGUAUAAAUUACCUCCUUUGGUCCAUUUCCCAGAUGAAAAGACUCAGGAAGACAAAUGGCAAUCAGAUUAGGGUUCUCUAGACAAAGUGGACCAAUCAAUAGUGUAUUUUUUUAAAUAGUGUAUUUUUAAGGCAGGAUCUCGCCAUGUGAUCCAGGCUGGCCUUGAACUCACUAUACACCCAGGCUAGUCUUGACCUUGUGAUCCUCCUGCCUUAGCCUCCUGAGUGCUGGGAUUAUAGUCAUGUACCACCACGUCCAGCUUUGAGAGAGAUUUAUUUUAAGGAAUUGGUUCAUGGGAUCCCGGAGGCUGGAAAGUUCAAAAUCUAUGGGGCAGGUCCCAAUUCUUUCUUUUUUGAGGGACCCUGGUCUCUGUGCUGGAGGCCUUCCAUGGGUUGGUUGGAUGAGGCCCAUGCAUUAUGGAGGAUAAUCUGCUUUACUCAGUCUACUGACAAAUAUUAAUCACAUCUUAAAAAUACCUUCACAGCAGCAUCCAGACUGGUAUUUGACCAAACAACCUAGCCAAGUUUGCAUGUAGAAUUAGCCACCACUGCUCCUUUUUAGGCCUCAGUUUUCCCCCAUGAACAGAACCC
rnacentral:lncRNA from 1 species